rnacentral:lncRNA from 1 species
UUGUUUUAUCCUGCUGGUCCUUUAUCAUGCUCCUGUCCUUUCCAGAAAUUCUAAGUUUUAAAUGAAAAUAUGUGACCUGUGUCACAUAUAUUCGUUACUUUUGUAACUUGUGCAGAAAAGUAAGUUAGCCACUAAACAUGACAAGUUUAUUUGUUCAUUUAUUUAUUUUUAAAUUCUAAUUAGAGAAAGGAAAAGGGUGUCAAGAGUCUUUAGUGAUUCACAUUUUAACAACCAGGUUAUAAUUUAUUAAUUCCCAACUUAUAAAAUUUUCACAACCUCUUUCCACAGGAGUCCAAGAGCAACUCAAAUUUAUUUAUUGUUUCUACAUAGGGUGUCAUUAAAUAUUUGUUAUCUCCUAAAGUUUGUUGGGAAACGGGAUUAUUUUCCACAUCAAAUCACACCAAUGCUAAUGGGAAAAGCAUUAGAUGUUGACCCAGCAAAUUAAACUGUAAAAUAUGAGGCUCAUUGUUAUUAUUACAUACAGACACAUUUUCUGUGCUCCUUAUUAAAGCCAUCUUAAUAAAACUCAUUGUAUUUUAGUCAUGUUUUAAAAUAAUUAUGCCAGAAUACAAAACACAUGAAUAUACAAAGAGAACAAGUUCCACUUGAAUAUGUUCAAUUUAACUCUUUAAAAUAGUUUUCCAAUUGGUCUCCUUCGACAUUUAAAUUGAUCACCUACCAAGAAAAAACACACUAAGGGUUGUUUAUGCUUUUCUUAAAUCUUCCAAAGAUACUACAUCUAUUUUAUUUUGUAACAAAACCAAAAAUUAAUUCUGCAUCUGUGAAGUUCAUCUAAUACAUAUUUCUGUAAAUUCUCAUUUUUUAACCCUUUGUGUUUUAUUGCAAUUUUUUUUGUAAGCUUGAAAGUGUCCUAUCAUUGGGUUGAAUGUUCUCUCCCUCUGGUGGCUACUCUUGUCUGGAGAAUUACUGUGAAAAUCCUCCUUCUCCUCUGAUUCCCUUAUGGAUAUGCACUCCACAGUUUGCCACAAUGGAUGCUGCCCUAAUUCAUAGGACUCUAACUGGGACAAGGCUGGGGUGGAGUCAACUCUUUGUUUGGGAAACACUGCUCAGACUCCGUAAGUCAGCGGUAUUUUUGUAA